GAAAUGCGAUAAGUAAUGCGAAUUGCAGAUUUUCCGUGAGUCAUCGAAUCUUUGAACGCUCAUUGCGCCCAUUGGUAUUCCGAUGGGCAUGCCUGUUCGAGCGUCAUUAUCCUCUUUCAAACCCCGGGUUUGGUGUUGGACCCAAGUUGUACGGGUUGAACAACUGGUCUCAAAGAAAACGACGGUGUCCGUGGGACCCUCCGGUGCAACGAGCUUCUCAGGAGCACGCAUCGAGUGCCUGUCGGACCGACCGUCCAUCCUCUUUACUGCAAGGUUGACCUCGGAUCAGGUAGGAAUACCCACUGAACUUAAGC
rnacentral:misc_RNA from 1 species